rnacentral:rRNA from 1 species
GAGAUAACUCCUACGGGAGGCAGCAGUGGGGAAUAUUGGACAAUGGGCGCAAGCCUGAUCCAGCCAUGCCGCGUGAGUGAUGAAGGCCCUAGGGUUGUAAAGCUCUUUUGUGCGGGAAGAUAAUGACGGUACCGCAAGAAUAAGCCCCGGCUAACUUCGUGCCAGCAGCCGCGGUAAUACGAAGGGGGCUAGCGUUGCUCGGAAUCACUGGGCGUAAAGGGUGCGUAGGCGGGUCUUUAAGUCAGGGGUGAAAUCCUGGAGCUCAACUCCAGAACUGCCUUUGAUACUGAGGAUCUUGAGUUCGGGAGAGGUGAGUGGAACUGCGAGUGUAGAGGUGAAAUUCGUAGAUAUUCGCAAGAACACCAGUGGCGAAGGCGGCUCACUGGCCCGAUACUGACGCUGAGGCACGAAAGCGUGGGGAGCAAACAGGAUUAGAAACCCUAGUAGUCCUCCACU